ACAGCCAUACCCUGCUGAAACACCUGCUCUCAUACGGUCAGCGAAGUUAAGCAACGUUGAGCCUGGUCAAUACGGAAAUGGCUGACCGGUUGGGAAUAGCGGGUG